AUCGUCACAUCCUCUUUCCGUUGCUCUUCUCGCUUUGAGGUACGGAAAACCACUUCACUGCAUACUCAAUCCUAAUCAAUCACCACAUUUUCUAAGUCAUCCACAGCCAUUAACGGUCCAAUCUGUCUUAUUUUCACAGAAACUUCUCCACACGAUGAGAGCCAAGGUGAGUUGACCAAUCCUUCAAAGUUAUUUCCUGAUUCAGUUAAUGCUACUAGCUAACAACUGAAUCACUGCUAAUGGGCUGCUCUACACAGUCCCUCGGCGUUAGGAUUAGAAUUAUGCUCCCUAUUUUGUCUUUUCUGCAGUUUUCUUUAACUAUAUUACUCCUGUUUAACCCUUGAAUCAAUUUUUCUCUUAAAAUUAGGGUUCAGUUCAUAAUGUUGCUGCUAAAGUUCCCGCUUUAAUGCACGCUGUAGUGUUAGCAAUGCCGUACCCUAACCUAGGUGUGCUGUUCUAUGGUCUAUGUAGUUUAUGGGUACCACCACGUGAUAUUGAUCAGUAAAUUUGUUAAAUAGGGGGCCAGACAUGUGAAGUAUGACUGAUAAUUGUUGACUAAAAUGCUUUUUUUGUCAUUAUAGUGGAGGAAGAAGCGCAUGCGCAGGUAAGAACUCGUUUAUUUGUAUUCAUACUCAGUUGCCUCACAUGUGAUAUUUUCCAUGCACUCCACUAAAGAUCCGGUGUACAGGCUUCUGGUGCAUAUGAUGGUGAAACAAAAACUAAACUGAAGUGACAUUUAACUCAGUGGUGCUAUUUACAAUGCUUGAGUUCAUUAUGGUGGUCUGUUAAAUGUAUCUUCAUAGUAAUCUAUCCUAUGGUCAAGUCUGACAUGGAAGAGCUUUGCACAUGAAGUUUGAGACCCCAACUUCAGUCUAAUGUGUCAGGAAUCAGUUCAUAAAAUAGCAGAACUGAUGUAUAGUGUAAAGCAUGUUAUUCUUAAGCUGACUAUGAGAAAAUUAUUUUUAAAGAUGCUUAGUUUUUGUAAGACAGGCUUGAUGGUGUGAAAUCUUGUCAGAUAUCAUACGACCAGUUAGUUCCUCCACAUGAAUCUGAAAUAACCUCUGAAACCUUUGCAAGGUGACCAAGAAGCUGUCUGGCUGAAACUUAACUCAGAAUUUGUCAUUAACUGUUCCAUAAAACGCUGACAAAGACUGUAAAAGCUGCGCCAUGUAAAUUGCUGUGGGUUCAAUUGUUGUAUAGAUAAGGUGGAAAACCCCAGAAUUGGUGACGACACCUGAAAAUAAUACAUAAGUAACUGGCAGGCUUAAAGAACUGGCUUAAAUAACUUAAAUAUCUGUCCUAAAUCGGGCCCGACCGAUUUAUUGGCGAGACGAUUAAAUCAGCCAAUUGUAGCCAGUUGGAGACUUAUCCGUAAUCAGCCAAAACUCGCCGAUUUUUGCUGGUAUUUUCAGAAAUAAAAUGCGGCAAAUAAAAUUAUGUUUCACCUCAAAAUUGUUCCGCCAUUUGAAAAGUUCCGACUUAUCCUGUAGAUGGCGCAGCGACCUCUUGACAGUCUUCAUCCACCAACUAUUUGAAAACGCUUUUCUGGUCCGAGUUUUAUCAGUCGGUCUUUCUGUAGGCGUUAAGAGCAGUUUAAAAUUUGUCGAUUUUAAUUGGUAAUCUUUUUUUUUUUUUUUCCCCUAAUAUGCAUCGGCCCCAAAAAAAUCCAUAUUGGUCGGGCCCUAGCCUUAAAUAACUGGCAGGCGUAGGGUCUUUUGUUAAAAAUUUGUUUCUGUUUGUCUAGAGCUGUGAUUAACUCCUGUAUUUAGCCUAAAACUGCUGUGUGUUGGGUUCUUGACAGGCUGAAGCGUAAAAGGCGAAAGAUGAGGCAGAGGUCAAAGUAAGCCCUCAUCAUUGUCAGUUGUGCCUCUGUCAAAGCCUCUUCAGAUGACUGAAACAUCCAUCGGCGGAGAAAUGCCUCCAACCUCAAUCAGAUGACUGCGCUUCUAACUGGGCAAGCUGUGGACACCUGAAUGGAAGAUGGCAGACACUGGACAGUCUCUCAACAUCAGAACUAAAGCUGACCUGUUCAUGGACCAUAAUAAAUGUUUCUUAACCUUCAUGUGGUGUAUUGAACAAUAAAUGUACACUGUUUAAAAAGUUAAAGUUUCAGCCUCUGAAUGUAAAUUACUGGGGAUUUCAACUGUCAAAUUUGUGUUUUGUAGUUUGAAGGGAGUACUAUAUCCUUACGUUUUCCAUCACUAUAAGAGUACUGGACUGAAAUGAGUGUUUUCAUAAGCUUGUUACAGGGUUAAAUUUUCUACUAAAGGACUAGAGUACCAAUUAUUGCGAUUGGGCUGCAAAUACAAAUGAGUAAAAUGUUGAAACUGUCAUAACAGUUAAACAGCAGAAAAUGCCUUAUUUUAAAUUCAAACUAUGGUAAAUGGCUGUAGGGAGUUAAAAACUGCAUUUCUUCUUGACAGAGGAUAAAAUUUCAUUAAGAUAUAAACCAGUUGCUCUUGUGACUCCCGAUGGAUGAGUCAUCUAGCACAGAAUACUAAAAUUAGUUUGAAUAUGAAGUUUUUGCUCUUGAGCAAACUAAAGUGUGCCAGUGGAAGCACAGUGUGACAACACAUUGAAAACAUAAAUGGCACUUAUUUUAACACUUCAGCUAAAAAGUUGAGGGCAGGUCUUGCUACUUUUCAAAUAUGCUUCAAUGUGUUCUAUUUGGUUGGAAAUUCAGACUUCAAUUCAUAAGGUUGUUUACAUUGCUUACUUGCUUCCCUAUGUGCCUCCCCUUGUUAACAGUUUGGAGGAUCCUUUGAAAUUCAACUAAAGUUACUGCUUGGAUAUUUUAGCAGUACUGUUCAAUACAAACUAUGUAAUCCUUUCAAGUUGGUUAGGACCCUGGCACCAGUAGGAUUUUGCUCUAAUUACAGUCUGUCCUGGCAAAUGGCACUUAAAUGGUAAACAUACUAGCCCAUUCUCCAGUCUUCUGACCGGUAAAAGUGCCUCUACAUUGGGCCUGCAUAUUCACACUAAUGUCAGAGGCUUUUAUUUAAAGCUCCUGAAAGGAGUUUUCAUCUGGUUGUCAAACAGACCAAAAUUAAUGCAGAUGCCUCUCUGAAGACCUAAGAAAGCAAACAAGAUAAUCAAAACAACAUUUAUCAUUCCUGGAUAAUUAAUUUCAAUGUACAAAAUUACUACAGCUGGGUAGGCGUUUGUAAGAGUGUUAACCAGCACAUAGCAAAAACUGCAUAUACUUUACAUUUUCUAUUGCAAAUUGACUGUUGUUUGCCAGCAGGAUGAGAGUUUUGUGAAAAAUCACCACUUAACAUUUGGACAAGACUGGAAAAGACACAUUUGUCCACAGGAAGUGCCAAAAUUAACACAAAAUUAAAGUUCCCCACAGGAGCUUUAAGCACCUAUCUGUAUUGACCUAUUCCAUUCACAUCACCAAGGGCAGUAACAUUGUAUUUCCCUUAUAAUUGUACAGUUGUUGAUAUAAAAGUAGAAACUUGUGAAUGUUUUCAUAAAAACAACAAAUAAGACUGUAAAAAUCAAUGUACAGAUUACUAUACUUCUUUUAUAACUAAUCUGGAAUGUUUGCUUUUACUUAACGAAAGUUUCAUUUGUCAGUAUUUUUCUACUUCAGGGAUUGACAGCUAUUUACUCCAUCAUGUGGUGGUAAGGUGAAAUAUUCAGACUUUACAUUACUCAUAAACUCCACUGAGACAUAGCCCUACCCCUCUGAUUGCCCUCUAAAGUUAUCAAAUCUUCCUGCACAUGUGUCAAUCUGAUAAGAUUUUGGACAAUUAUACUGAUCCGGGGGAUUUGACUGAUUUAAAGGUAAACACUAAUGUACGGUGGCCGAGAACCGGUAAUGUCGUAAAUAAAAAAAAGAAACCACAACGGAAGUAACUGAUGCAUAAAUAAAAAAGAAACCGAAGCCUGCUGCAAAAAAAAAAAAAAAAAACACUGCAGAUAAAAAAACAGAAAAACCACAAUGGAAGUUAAUGAUGCAAGAAAAAAGUGGUAAUGCAAAAACAAACAAACAGUUACUUACUGCAAAAAUAAAAGGAUGCAAUUAAUAAAAGCCACAAUGGGAGUGAGCUGCCAGGGACCAAAAAUUAUGAUGCACCGGUGUUUUACGAUCUAGGCACAGAAGACAACGGCGAGAAGACGUUAUUGUUUAAUUUCGCUUCAUAUCGACUCAGGCACUACAUGGCCUAACCAAAUGACACAUUGAAAAGUUUAUGAAGUUGAACUGGAGGAUGCCGGUGUAGUGUUAGCUUCAGUUCGACUUCAUAUCGACUCAGGCGCUACAUGGUCUAACCAAACGACACAUUGAAAAGUUUAUGAAGCGAAAUUAAACAAUAACCUUUCCACUAACUUCUUCGCUUGUCUUCUCGCCGUCGUCUUCUCUGCCUAAAUCGUAAAAUACCAGUGCAUCAUCAUUAUUGGUCCCUGGCGACUCACUUCUGAUGUGCCUUUUUUUUAUUUGCAUCCCUUUAUUUUCACAGUAAGAAACUUUUUUUUCCAUCGCCACUUUUUUUUUAAUUUUUAUGCAUCAUUAACUUCUGUUGUGGCUUUUUUAUCUGCACCGUAUUUUUUUUUUAUUUGCAACGAGCUUCGGUUUCUUUUUCUUUCUUUUUUUUGCAUUAGUAACUUCCAUUGUGACUUCUUUUCU
rnacentral:lncRNA from 1 species